GCCGACGAACAUGCAGGUCAGCGCGCUGUGUGCGGGUCCCAGUCUACCCGAACGUUCUCACUCGUAAUGAGAAGGUCAAGAGUUCGAUUCUCUUAGGCGGCU
rnacentral:tRNA from 1 species